rnacentral:tRNA from 1 species
AGAUAUGUAAGCUAACUAAAGCUAUUGGACUCAUAUUUCAACUAUAGAUAAUUUUAAAUCUCUUAUCUA